UACGAAGGGGGCUAGCGUUGUUCGGAAUUACUGGGCGUAAAGCGCGCGCAGGCGGCUAUCCAAGUCAGUGGUGAAAGCCCGGAGCUCAACUCCGGAACUGCCAUUGAAACUGUUUAGCUUGAGGAUGAGAGAGGUGAGUGGAAUUCCCAGUGUAGAGGUGAAAUUCGUAGAUAUCGGGAGGAAGGCCGGUGGCGAAGGCGGCGCUCUGGAACAUUUCUGACGCUGAGGCUCGAAAGCGUGGGGAGCAAACAGG
rnacentral:rRNA from 1 species